UUCUUUUGGUUUUUUGUGUAGGAGUGAUGUUACGCGUGGGUAACCUGCCCUGUACACACGGGAUAACAUACCGAAAGGUAUACUAAUACGGGAUAACAUAUAAAAGUCGCAUGGCUUUUGUAUCAAAGCUCCGGCGGUACAGGAUGGACCCGCGUCUGAUUAGCUAGUUGGUAAGGUAAUGGCUUACCAAGGCAACGAUCAGUAGCCGACCUGAGAGGGUGAUCGGCCACACUGGAACUGAGACACGGUCCAGACUCCUACGGGAGGCAGCAGUGGGGAAUAUUGCACAAUGGGCGAAAGCCUGAUGCAGCAACGCCGCGUGAGCGAUGAAGGCCUUCGGGUCGUAAAGCUCUGUCCUCAAGGAAGAUAAUGACGGUACUUGAGGAGGAAGCCCCGGCUAACUACGUGCCAGCAGCCGCGGUAAUACGUAGGGGGCUAGCGUUAUCCGGAAUUACUGGGCGUAAAGGGUGCGUAGGUGGUUUUUUAAGUCAGAAGUGAAAGGCUACGGCUCAACCGUAGUAAGCUUUUGAAACUAGAGAACUUGAGUGCAGGAGAGGAGAGUAGAAUUCCUAGUGUAGCGGUGAAAUGCGUAGAUAUUAGGAGGAAUACCAGUAGCGAAGGCGGCUCUCUGGACUGUAACUGACACUGAGGCACGAAAGCGUGUCGGAGCAAACAGGAUUAGAUACCCUGGUAGUCCACGCCGUAAACGAUGGAGUACUAGGUGUCGGGGGUUACCCCCCCUCGGUGCCGCAAGCUAAACGCUUUAAGUACUCCGCCCUGGGAAAGGUACUGCUCGCCAAGAGUGGAAACCUCCAGAG
rnacentral:rRNA from 1 species